rnacentral:lncRNA from 1 species
AUGAAUUUUACUUCCUUCCCUCUGUUUUGCAUGUGCUCUCUUGCCCUUCUGCCUUCUCCAUGGGAUGACACAGGAAGAAGACCAUCACCAGAGCAUCUUAGGUUGGAUUUCCUAGGAACAGAACCUGUGACAGGAAUUCAGGUGGAGCUGUUUUAGGCUGGGUGCUGUGGCCCAGGCCUGGAAUCCCAGCACUUCAGAAGGCC